CCUGGACAAUGCCUCUCUAGUCCACCAGAGGGCGCCAUUGCAGAGAGAACGGGUCCCUUUCCAGCAGCAUCUCUGCGCGGAUUUGCAGGGAAGGCCUCCCGCUCCACAGAGCCUAUCUUCUCCAAAAAGAUCUCAAAGAUUGCAGGUUCACCAUUUACAUUUGCCAAAUGUUUGACUCAGGACCAGGCCACCGACGCCUCUCAGCAACUGUUCCUCCAACCUGAGGCCAGCCUGGCUCUUCUGGACGCUUCAUGCUGAAAGCCAAUCCCAGACCUGAUACAGCUAACCUCACAUGCCUUCUAGAAACAGAUGACACCACCUGUCUGAGCUUUCCAGGAAGAUGCAAGGGAUGUGGAGUCCCCAACACCGACUUUCUGAAAGGCUCUGUUGACUCCAUUCUCCCAAAGGUCUACCCUUGAAGGUCUUAGGACUUCCAAGAGCCCGACCUCUGGCCUCUUGCAUGUUCACUCUGAACCCAGCAUUUCCCUAAGUGCUGAGUGAGGGCCUCCUGCCUCAGAUUGGGAUUAGAACUUUCCAGGUAGACUCUAAAGCCCCCCUUUGGGCCAGGGAUCCUCCAAGUGCAGUCCUAGCACUAGGACAACAGCUCUCCUGGGAGCUGGGAAGAAGUGCAGAUUCUCCACUCCUCAGACUCACCGAAUCCAAAACUAUGGGUCAGGGCCCAGGGCUGCACAGGGAGGUUUGAGACCCUGGCCAGCUCCCUCCCUAUUUCCUGGAGCUACAGGAUCCUUUCUGCAGAUAGGGUUGGUACUGAAUCCCCUCCUCCAGUGCUGCAGUGGAUCUAACUCACCAUUCCAUGGGUGCUGUGGUGCACCAUCUGACAUGGCUGUGGUGAGUCUUUUCCCCAUAUGAUUAUGAUCAAAGCUACCAUGACUUUAGUUUUUAAUCUUAAAUGAAAAUUUGUGAUGUUUUUGUUAUAGUCACUGAACAAGUAGAAAGAAGCCUGACUUGUGGCAGCCAAACUCCAUUAACAAGUUCCUUGAUCUAUCUCGUUUCCAACAGCUAUAUUUUCUCCUCUAGAGCAGGAGGAGGUUACACUGAGACCCAGACAGGGAGGAGAGGCAGGCCCUCUUCUGUCUGCCAUGGUGUCCGUGAGAGCCCCUGCCCUAGGGAGGCAUGGAACAGUAUGGCGCAUGGGAGAAUGAGAGGCCCAGACAUGUUCCCUAGGGAGCUCCUAGUCUUAGGUAAGCUUUUGGCACAAAGUAUGGAAAGUUCCUUCUCUGCCCUGCUGGUCACCACCUCCAAGAGAAGAAAUUCAUGGAACCCAGAAUCACCAUCCAUCCAAACCCCACACACAUCUAGUUAGAGAGAGAGAAAAAAAAGACUUAUUUUCUGUGAAAAAUGGAUCCAGGGGCAUUGUUAUGGUUUGGAUGUGAUGUGUCCCCCAAAAGCUCACAUGUGAGACAACACAAGAAGGUUCAGGGAAGAAAUGAUUGGAUUGUGACAGCCUUAAGCCAACCAGUGAAUUAAUCACCUGAUGGGAUUAAUUGAGUGGUAACUGGAGGCAGGUGGGGUAUGGCUGGAGGAGUUGGGUGUUGGGGACGUGGUUAUCUGGUUAUCGGGUGUAUUUUUGUAUCUGGCGAGUGGAGCCUCUCUGUUUCUUGAUCAUCAUGUGAGCUGCUUCCAUCUGCCACACUCUUCUACCAUGAUGUCCUGCAUCACCUGGAGUUCCAAGAAAUGGAACCUGCUGUCUAUGGAUGAAACCAGAAGCCCCUGAAAAAACUGUUUUCUCCUCUACUGUUGUUCUGGUCAGGUCCUUUUAGUCACAGCAGCGAAAAAGCUAAAACAGACAUCAUGGGCUGUGGCUGUGGCUCAGUGGUAGAGCGUUUGCAGAGCAUGUGUGAGACACGGGGUUUGAUCCUCAGCAUCACAUAAAAAUAAAUAAAUAAAUGAAGAUAUUGUGUCCAUCUACAACUAAAAAAUAUUUUAAAAAAUAAAACAAAGCAGGCAUCAUGUAAACAAAGCUCUCUUAAUGACGCUGAAAGCUUCUGGAAAAUAAAUACUUUUAAAAAUGACCAAUGCACUUACAUUUACAACCCCAAUGGGUUGAGUCAUGAUGCUAUAAACAGAAGAUACGCUCAAGUCCUAACCUCCAAUGCACAUGAUGUGAUUUAAUUUCUAAUUAAGGGUCUCAAGGUGGGAAUCAUCCUGGAUUUAGAGCCGGCCUGAAAUCCAAUGACUGGGGUCCUUAUAAGAGGAAGAAGUUGGUGCCUGGACUCCGAGGGCGGAAGGCCCUGUGAAGACAAGCAGAGGUUGUAGUGAUGUUCCGACAAGCCACCAGGACUCAGGGGACUACCAGAGCUAGGAGAGAGGCGGUGGGCCAUUGAUAGAGCCAAUCCUAUCAAUGUCCUGAUCUUGAAUUUCUGGCCUUACCUACUAUGAGCAAAUAAAUGUCUGCUGUUUGAAGCCA